rnacentral:rRNA from 1 species
UACAGAGGGUGCGAGCGUUUGUCCGGAAUUACUGGGCGUAAAGGGCUCGUAGGCGGCCAACUAAGUCAGACGUGAAAUCCCUCAGCUUAACUGGGGAACUGCGUCUGAUACUGGAUGGCUUGGAUUCGGGAGAGGAAUGCGGAAUUCCAGGUGUAGCGGUGAAAUGCGUAGAUAUCUGGAGGAACACCGGUGGCGAAGGCGGCCAACUGGACCAUUACUGACGCUGAGGCGCGAAAGCGUGGGGAGCAAACAGG